rnacentral:snRNA from 1 species
AUCUUUGCGCUUGGGGCAAUGACGUAGCUAGUGAGGUUCUAACCGAGGCGCGUCUAUUGCUGGUUGAAAACUAUUUCCAAACCCCCUCUUAGGCCUGGGUUCAGCCUAGGCCUUCGAGAAUUUCUGGAAGGACUCCCUUAGGGG